rnacentral:rRNA from 1 species
ACUCAAAUGAAUAGACGGGGGCCCGCACAAGCGGAGGAACAUGUGGUUUAAUUCGAUGAUACGCGAGGAACCUUACCCGGGAUUGAAAUGUACCUGACGUACAGUGAGAGCUGUAUUCCGCAAGGCAGGUAUGUAGGUGCUGCAUGGUUGUCGUCAGCUCGUGCCGUGAGGUGUCGGCUUAAGUGCCAUAACGAGCGCAACCCUGACUGUCAGUUGCUAACAGGUCAUGCUGAGGACUCUGGCGGGACUGCCGGCGUAAGCUGCGAGGAAGGUUGGGAUGACGUCAAAUCAGCACGGCCCUUACAUCCGGGGCGACACACGUGUUACAAUGGCAUGGACAAAGAGUGGCUACCCGGCGACGGGAUGCUAAUCUCCAAACCGUGUCUCAGUUCGGAUCGGAGUCUGCAACUCGACUCCGUGAAGCUGGAUUCGCUAGUAAUCGCGCAUCAGCCAUGGCGCGGUGAAUACGUUCCCGGGCCUUGUACACACCGCCCGU